UUGGCGUCUGCGUCAUCGUCAUCCGAAGACACAUUGGUUUUCGCACUCUAACUUUAGUUUAAGUGAAUGGAUCUCUAUGAUAUUUUAUCAUAAGGUUCAAUACCACAAAAGGAAGGUUGGGAUUGAUUUGAGGGGUUAUGGUACCAACAGUUAAGGAAUUAGGGGCCAAAAAUAAGCAUUUUUGUAACUUCCAGACAUAACUUGUGUGUUAGUGUAUGGAUCUCUCUGACAUUGUACCACAAGGUUCCAUAUCACAAAGGGAAUGCUGGGAUUUAUUUUGGGGGUAAUUGCCUCAAAAUUUUAGGAAUUAGGGGCCAAAAAAGGGGCAAAAAACAAGCAUUUUUUCUAGUUUCAUGAUAAUAACUUGUGUGUAAGUGUAUGGAUCUUUCUGAAAUUGUACUACAAGGUUCCAUAUCACAAAGGGAAAGCUGUGUUUGAGUUUGGGGGUAAUUGCCUUAAACGUUUAGGAAUUUGGGGCCAUAAAGGGGCCUAAAAACAAGCAUCUUUCUAGUUUCCAGACAAUAACUUGUGUUCAAGUGUAUGGAUCUCUCUGAAAUUGUACUGCAAGGUACCAUACCACAAAGGAAAGACUGGGAUUGAUUUUGGGGGUAAUUGCCUCAAAAUUUUAAGAAUUAGGGGCCAAAAAUGGGCAAAAACAAGCAUUUUUCUAGUUUCAGGGAAAUAACUUGUGUGUAAGUGUAUGGAUCUUUAUGAAAUUGUACUACAAGGUACCAUAUCACAAUGGGAAAGCUGGGUUUGAGUUUGGGGGUAAUUGCCCUAAACGUUUUGGAAUUAGGGGCCAUAAAGGGGCAUAAAAACUAACAUUUUUCUAGUUUCCAGACAAUAACUUGUGUUCAAGUGUAUGGAUCUUGCUGAAAUUGUACUGCAAGGUACCAUACCAAAAAGGGAAGACUGGGAUUGAGUUUGGGGUUGAUGAAUCAUAAGGGGGUUCAAAAAAUUUGGGGGAGGGAUUUUUUUUUCCUUUUUUUUUCUUUAAAAUUUUCCAUUUUAAAUUGGUUAUUUCUGAUUUAUAUAUAAAAGCAAAUAAUAAUAAUAUGGUUUGAAU